rnacentral:misc_RNA from 1 species
CACAAAUGGAAAGGUACCAUCCUUUUUUUGUGAAAACCCAAGAAGUUACAGAAAUAAGAUGAAAAAUAUCAAGACCAAAGGUAUAGACAUUACUUCAAAACAAAUAGUAUUCCAAAGCUUUUGCUACGUUACAAAUUUCUAACAAAAGAAGAAAUAUUAAUCUGUACAGAUAGGGCCAAGCACAAGGCGGCAAGGAUGACUUAGACAAUAUGGGGCUCGUCCUAAUCAUCCAGAGGUGUGUAUUUAACAAGUAUAAUUUACUUCGACAAAAACAAUGUUGUUGUAGAAUUCGCCCUAUAGACAUGCGAUAUAGAAAUUAGAUUGGUUCUGUGCUCCACUGCUUAUAGGUAGACUAGUAAACGUAUGGUGAAACUGAACUCCAACCUGGGAACAUUCAUUGUCAUGAGCAGUCUUGAACUGAGAAAGUUCAAGCAAUACAGGUUGCGUACUUUAUACUUGAGGUAACAGCUCCGUCACUUGGAAUCAAGCCCUAUUCACUGCAAUUCUAGGAAGGCCAUAGGUAGCAUACAGCUUGAUCUCUUUUAAUCAACUUCACUGUAAAUACAUGCUACAAAUAUGUCUGAGUCUUGAAAAUCAAAUCAUCAGGCAAACCAGACCAGCAUUUUCUACCCUUUUGUACAGGCAAAAUGCUUCAUUCAGUACUUUCCCCAUAAUUGACCAUGUAUAUUGCAAUCAAAGUGACAAUAGCGCCAACCAAUUGCAAGGGUGAGAAGGUCUCACCAAGAUAUAGAAACCUGUAGUCAGAAACCCAAACACCAGAAAUAAAUUAAAAAAGUAAGGACCGAAAGUUAUAUUGAAAUUUAGGCUUCAUUGUUUCAUAAAAAAUAGUUUCCUAAAAAACAUUUUCCUUUGUUUAUUUUUAUAUAGUAUUCAUUUAGGGCUCUUGGGAAAUUUGGUUAAACAGAAAAACGUUUUCUUGUAGUUUGAAAGAAAAUUAAUAUUUUCCAAUGUACUCCAAACAACAUAAAAUACUUACUAUUGAUUUAUUAUCUUGAAACCAAAUAAUAGAAAAAAAGUUAUUUUCUUAGAAACUUUUUUUCUUUAAAUAUUUUCUAAAUUCUAAAGCAAGUUAUUUUUUGAGAAACAGAUAGGGCCUUAAUGCAUUAUUCAUAUAAUAGACCUAGUCACAGCUCAAUUCAUCUUCAAGUGAAAUUAAAGACCUGACUUGAUUAAAUUGUUGUAUUAAUUUUCUCAAUCCCAAAAAUUGAAGAAUCUUACCCAAAAAUUGAAGCAAACAUCGGGGUUAAAAAAGUGAGGGAACUGAGCUUUGUUAGGCUACCUGAAAAUUUGUCAGCAAUGAAAAAUCAGUUUCAAAAAGAAACCUAAAAAUUAAAUUUAAGCCUCUUUUAUGUUAGUGCAGUUUAAAUAUGCAUAAACUAUGCAACCCACCACUCACAAAAAGCAAAAGGAUCAUUUCAACCGUAUAUCAUAUGGCCAACUUAAAUUUAAUAAAAAAAAUGAACCACAAGAAAUUAAAACAGACAACCAGAUAAAAAACAGAAAAGAAAUAGUAAAUAGAAUUUUAGCAUAGAAUGUAACCUUUUGUUGCACUGUAGAAGUAUACGCCAUAACUAAUAGCACUUCCAAAAAUAGAGGUAUAAAGGAGUGCCAAUAUAUCACUUCCUGUCAGUUCCUUGAGGCUUCCACUGAAGGCAGGAUCAUGAUUGAGAAUUGAGAUCACCGCAAGAGGGAUACCACCAAUAACCAUGUGCUGCAGUUAAGGUCCGAGUGAAUUCUAUUUGCUUGUUGUCAUCAUAAAUAUAAAAACAAAAUGAGGCGGGACAUCAAGCAACAUUCUAAGGCAAACUCACAGCAAUCUUGAAUAAUUAUCAAGCACAUCAUUAAAACAAACAAUAAAGAAAGAUGAUUUCCAAGCAAUUCAGGACAUCCUACCCAUCCAGUUGCCAUAACAGGAUCAGAGUACUUAGUAACCCAGCGGACCAUGACUGUGCCUACUGCCAUGCUUUGAGCUGCAAGAAGCAUCCACCAUUCUCCACUUCCCCACAAAGAAAAAUUACUCUCAUCAAUAGCAAGAGCAGGUAACUGCAGAAUAAACCACAACAUCAUUCAAUAACAAUAAUGGGCAAACAAUAAAAUCCUAUCAAGUUGUGAACUACUUUUUCCAUUCCAGAAACUGGAAAAAAAGAAAAAGCAAAAUGUUCGUAAUGCAUCACAUGCUUAAUAACAUAACUAAACAAAAGAGACCAGCGGUUCCUUGAGGGAAAAAAAAGGAUUUCUGCUCAUGGGUGGGAAGAAAGGAAACACUCAAGGAAUAUGAUCAAUAAAACUAAAGUCACUAAACCAAAACUGCACGACAACAGAAAGUACAUAGAGAAGCCUGCUGCUGUGUAACCCAUUUUCAUCUUCUUCAAUUAUGGACACUUUCCACAAGACAUUGUAGCAACCAGGACACUAUGGCAUCAACAGAAACCAACCACGGACCACCAUCUUCCUAUUAUAAAGAGAGAGGCUAUAGAAACUAAUAGCAGACAUUUGGCAUAAUUUUCUUCUGUUAAAUUGAAUAUUACAACAGACACACACUGAGCUAAAUGAAACUAGAUAUAGGGGGAAAGAAAAGAAGACACUAUAAAUUCAAAGUUUUUCCUUGAACCAUAUGCACUCCUGAAAUGUGAUCUCUAAACAAUAAUUUGAUAUAAUCAAGUACUUGAACAAUAAAACUGAAAUACAAUUUAUACCUUCCUAUAACAUGCAUUACAUUCUAGUGCUAAGUUGAAGUUAGGGUUGAACCCUUACGUUCAUGUAUAAACUAAAUGUAAAAAAAAAAAAAAUGUUAAUGUCCAUGUAAAUGCUUGACAGAUCAUGUAAAAUUACACCAUAAAGCAAUGAUAAAGUUCAAUGAUGGAUCAGAACAGUUAUCUAAUGUUAAUGCCACUAAACCUCACCGUUAUAUGUAGAAUAAUCAAAAUUAAAGAGAUCACCUCAAGAAGUGAAAGUCCUAUGACACCAAGUACAAGGCCUGCAGCUCCAACCAACCCAAUGGAUUCACCAAAUAACAAGGCUGCAAGUACAGCCACUGUCAGAGGUUGUGAGUCGAUUAUAACACUGCCUAAACCUGCAGAUGUCCUCUGUAAUCCCUCAGCAAGAAAACCCUGGAAACAAGCAGCAUCAACAAGGCCGAAGAGAGCGAUGGAGAGCCAAGCAAUGAAUCCAGAGGGCAGAGGCCUACUUUGGGACGCAGCAAAUGCAAUCAAAAGUGAGCCCGCAGGAAUAAGCCGAAAAGCAGCCACAAAAAAAGGACCAACCAAUGGCAAUAUCUCCUUCAUAGCCACCAUAGCCGUGCCCCAAAAGAAAAAAGGCGACACCAAAACUCCCGUCUCCACCAUCAUUUCCAAUAAAUCACUUUUCGAUUCAUCUCCUCCUCCCUCUUCCACCGCCAACUUUGUACCAUUAGUUUCAGAGGAGGGAGAAGAAGAGACAAGGCACUCCACAUCUAGGCCUGUCCCUACGCAAUCAAAGUCCAUCGAUGACGAAGAAUCAGCAUUAGAAUCUGAUGAUUUUGAUUCCAAUUCCACGUUUUUACUACUAGUGGUGCAGCAGCCAAUGAAAUUGGCUCUUCUUCUUCUUCUGAUUCUUGUACUAUAUCUAAGACUACGAGUAUGAGACAAUUUGGAAUGAGAAUUACAUGGCGGAGGAGAGAAGUAAAAAGAGGAGAAAGAGAUGGAGCUGAAUUUGACGGGAAGAGUAGGAGAUAGAAGAGAAGGAAAGGAGUUGAAGAGGCUUGAAGGAGAGAAUAGCUUCAUGGCUACCUCACUUCUUCUUCUGCCCUUUUACUAUCUUCUGUGUCAGUACAGUAGAGUGCAGGGAGCGCGGUGAUGCUGCGCCGUGCUGUAUCAGCGAUAAGAAGGCCAG